rnacentral:lncRNA from 1 species
AACAUUCCCCCAGGGGCUCCUGAUUACCCCAGGAAUGAACUUCAGACUCCUUACAAGAUCCUAUGUGGGCCGGGUGCGGUGGCUCAUGCCUGUAAUCCCAGCACUUUGGGAGGCCGAGUCAGGUGGAUCAUGAGGUCAGGAGAUCGAGACCAUCCUGGCUAACACAGUGAAACCCCGUCUCUACUAAAAAUACAAAAAAUUAGCUGGGUGUGGUGGCGGGCGCCUGUAGUCCCAGCUACUCGGGAGGCUGAAGCAGGAAAAUG